rnacentral:rRNA from 1 species
GUAGGUGGCAAGCGUUGUCCGGAAUUAUUGGGGCGUAAAGCGCGCGCAGGCGGUUCUUUAAGUCUGAUGUGAAAGCCCACGGGCUCAACCGUGGAGGGUCAUUGGAAACUGGAGAACUUGAGUACAGAAGAGGAAAGCGGAAUCCCACGUGUAGCGGUGAAAUGCGUAGAGAUGUGGAGGAACACCAGUGGCGAAGGCGGCUUUCUGGUCUGUAACUGACGCUGAGGCGCGAAAGCGUGGGGAGCAAACAGGAUUAGAUACCCUGGUAGUCCACGCCGUAAACGAUGAGUGCUAAGUGUUAGGGGGUUUCCGCCCCUUAGUGCUGCAGCUAACGCAUUAAGCACUCCGCCUGGGGAGUACGGCCGCAAAGGCUG